rnacentral:rRNA from 1 species
CCUACGGGCGGCAGCAGUGAGGAAUAUUGGUCAAUGGGCGGGAGCCUGAACCAGCCAAGCCGCGUGAGGGAAGAAGGUACAGCGUAUCGUAAACCUCUUUUGUCAGGGAACAAAUGCGGGGACUAGUCCCCGGAUGAGGGUACCCGAAGAAAAAGCAUCGGCUAACUCCGUGCCAGCAGCCGCGGUAAUACGGAGGAUGCGAGCGUUAUCCGGUUUUAUUGGGUUUAAAGGGUGCGCAGGCGGCCGUUUAAGUCCACGGUAAAAGCCCGGGGUUAAACCCCGGCGAGCCGGUGAAACUGGCGGGCUGGAGGUGGAGAGAAGUACGCGGAAUUCGUGGUGUAGCGGUGAAAUGCUUAGAUAUUAGGAGGAACACCAGUGGCGAAGGCGGCUUACUGGAGUGUAACUGACGUUGAGGCUCGAAAGCGUGGGGAGCAAACAGGAUUAGAUACCCCAGUAGUC